UGGUGGAGUGAUUUGUCUGGUUUAUUCCGUUAACGAACGAGACCUCGACCUGCUAAAUAGUACCGCCCGCCGUUCGCGGCGGGCCUGGCGACUUCUUAGAGGGACUAUCGGUGGUUAGCCGGUGGAAGUUCGAGGCAAUAACA
rnacentral:rRNA from 1 species